CACGUAGGGGGCGAGCGUUGUCCGGAUUUAUUGGGCGUAAAGAGCUCGUAGGUGGUUCGGUAAGUCAGGUGUGAAACCUCCAGGCUCAACCUGGAGACGCCACUUGAUACUGCCGUGACUGGAGUCCGGUAGGGGAGCGUGGAAUUCCUGGUGUAGCGGUGAAAUGCGCAGAUAUCAGGAGGAACACCGGUGGCGAAGGCGGCCCUCUGGACGGAUACUGACGCUGAGGCGCGAAAGCGUGGGGAUCAAACAGG
rnacentral:rRNA from 1 species